rnacentral:rRNA from 1 species
GACGAACGCUGGCGGCGUGCCUAAUACAUGCAAGUUGAGCGCUGAAGGUUGGUACUUGUACCAACUGGAUGAGCAGCGAACGGGUGAGUAACGCGUGGGGAAUCUGCCUUUGAGCGGGGGACAACAUUUGGAAACGAAUGCUAAUACCGCAUAAAAACUUUAAACACAAGUUUUAAGUUUGAAAGAUGCAAUUGCAUCACUCAAAGAUGAUCCCGCGUUGUAUUAGCUAGUUGGUGAGGUAAAGGCUCACCAAGGCGAUGAUACAUAGCCGACCUGAGAGGGUGAUCGGCCACAUUGGGACUGAGACACGGCCCAAACUCCUACGAGAGGCAGCAGUAGGGAAUCUUCGGCAAUGGACGAAAGUCUGACCGAGCAACGCCGCGUGAGUGAAGAAGGUUUUCGGAUCGUAAAACUCUGUUGGUAGAGAAGAACGUUGGUGAGAGUGGAAAGCUCAUCAAGUGACGGUAACUACCCAGAAAGGGACGGCUAACUACGUG